rnacentral:rRNA from 1 species
UACGGGGGGGGCAAGCGUUGUUCGGAAUUACUGGGCGUAAAGGGCUCGUAGGCGGCCAACUAAGUCAGACGUGAAAUCCCUCGGCUUAACCGGGGAACUGCAUCUGAUACUGGAUGGCUUGAGUUCGGGAGAGGGAUGCGGAAUUCCAGGUGUAGCGGUGAAAUGCGUAGAUAUCUGGAGGAACACCGGUGGCGAAGGCGGCAUCCUGGACCGACACUGACGCUGAGUGCGCGAAAGCCAGGGGAGCAAACGGG